rnacentral:rRNA from 1 species
AUUGAACGCUGGCGGCAGGCCUAACACAUGCAAGUCGAACGAGUGGCGGACGGGUGAGUAAUGUCUGGGAAACUGCCCGAUGGAGGGGGAUAACUACUGGAAACGGUAGCUAAUACCGCAUACCAUCGGAUGUGCCCAGAUGGGUUUAGAUAGUAGGUGGGGUAAAGGCUAACCUAGGCGACGAUCCCUAGCUGGUCUGAGAGGAUGACCAGCCACACUGGAACUGAGACACGGUCCAGACUCCUACGUGAGGCAGCAGUGGGGAAUAUUGGACAAUGGGGGCAAGCCUGAUGCAGCCAUGCCGCGUGUAGGAUGAAGGCCUUCGGGUUGUAAAGUACUUUCAGCGAAGAGGCGUUACCCGCAGAAUAAGCACCGGCUAACUCCGUGCCAGCAGCCGCGGUAAUAC